rnacentral:rRNA from 1 species
ACGAACGCUGGCGGCGUGCUUAACACAUGCAAGUCGAACGGAAAGGCCCUGCUUUUGUGGGGUGCUCGAGUGGCGAACGGGUGAGUAACACGUGAGUAACCUGCCCUUGACUUUGGGAUAACUUCAGGAAACUGGGGCUAAUACCGGAUAGGAGCUCCUGCUGCAUGGUGGGGGUUGGAAAGUUUCGGCGGUUGGGGAUGGACUCGCGGCUUAUCAGCUUGUUGGUGGGGUAGUGGCUUACCAAGGCUUUGACGGGUAGCCGGCCUGAGAGGGUGACCGGCCACAUUGGGACUGAGAUACGGCCCAGACUCCUACGGGAGGCAGCAGUGGGGAAUAUUGCACAAUGGGCGGAAGCCUGAUGCAGCAACGCCGCGUGCGGGAUGACGGCCUUCGGGUUGUAAACCGCUUUCGCCUGUGACGAAGCGUGAGUGACGGUAAUGGGUAAAGAAGCACCGGCUAACAACGUG